rnacentral:hammerhead_ribozyme from 1 species
AUCCAGUUGACGAGUCUCAUAUAGGACGAAACAUGUGUCCUGGAU